rnacentral:tRNA from 1 species
GCUUAUAUGCCUAGUGGACAUGGAAUCUGCCCGGUAAGCGGAACACUGUGGGUUCGAUUCCCAUCCCUGGUCCC